GACGAACGCUGACGGUGUGCUUUAGGCAUGCAAGUCGAACGAGAAAGCCCUUCUGGGUGAGUACAGUGGCGAACGGGUGAGUAACACGUGGGCAACCUGCCCCUCGCAGGGGGACAACCGGAGGAAACUCCGGCUAAUACCCCGUACGCUUCUCGGGCCGCAUGGUCUGGGAAGGAAAGGUAGCUUCGGCCAUCCGGCGAGGGAUGGGCCCGCGUUGCAUUAGCUAGUUGGUGGGGUAACGGACCACCAAGGCGACGAUGCGUAGCUGGUCUGAGAGGAUGAUCAGCCACACUGGGACUGAGACACGGCCCAGACUCCUACGGGAGGCAGCAGCCAGGAAUCUUGGGCAAUGGGCGAAAGCCUGACCCAGCAACACCGUGUGGGCGUCGAAGGUCUUAGGAUCGUAAAACCCUGUUGAUAGGGACGAAGGGCGAAGGGUUAAUAGCCCCUAGCUUUACGGUACCUUUCGAGGCAGCCCCGGCUAACUACGUGCCAGCAGCCGCGGUAACAC
rnacentral:rRNA from 1 species